rnacentral:rRNA from 1 species
CCUACGGGAGGCUGCAGUGAGGAAUAUUGGUCAAUGGACGCAAGUCUGAACCAGCCAUGCCGCGUGCAGGAAGACGGCCCUAUGAGUUGUAAACUGCUUUUGUACGAAGGAAAACGCAGAUGCGCGUAUCUGUCUGAAAGUAUCGUACGAAUAAGGAUAGGCUCACUCCGGUCCAGCAGCCGCGGUAAUACAGAGGGUUCAAGCGUUAUCCGGAUUUAUUGGGUUUAAAGGGUGAGUAGGCGGUCGGGUAAGAUAGAGGUGAAAUCCCGAGGCUCAACCUCGGAAUUGCCUCUGAUACUGUUAGGCUAGAGAGUAGUUGAGGUAGGCGGAAUGUAUGGUGUAGCGGUGAAAUGCUUAGAGA